rnacentral:rRNA from 1 species
UACGAAGGGGGCUAGCGUUGUUCGGAUUUACUGGACGUAAAGCGCACGUAGGCGGAUUGUUAAGUCGGGGGUGAAAUCCUGGAGCUCAACUCCAGAAUUGCCUUCGAUACUGGCUUUCUAGAGGCUGGAAGAGGUUAGUGGAAUUCCCAGUGUAGAGGUGAAAUUCGUAGAUAUUGGGAAGAACACCAGUGGCGAAGGCGGCUAACUGGUCCAGAUCUGACGCUGAGGUGCGAAAGCGUGGGGAGCAAACAGG